rnacentral:rRNA from 1 species
CCUCGAGACGGGGAUAACGGCUGGAAACGGUCGCUAAGACCCGAUAUAGUCUGACCUUCGGGAGAAAGUGAGAGGAAAGGCUUCGGUGCUCGGAGGAGGGGCCUGCGGUCCCAUCAGCUACUUGGAGAGUGUAACGGCUCCCCAAGGCAAUGACGGUUAGGGGGUGUGAGAGCAUGGCCCCCCACACUGUGACUGAGACACGGCCCAGACUCCUACGGGAGGCAGCAGCACGGAAUAUUGCGCAAUGGACGGAAGUCUGACGCACUCACUGCCGCGUGGAUGACGAAGGUCUUCGGGUUGUAAAGUCCCUAUUCCGGGCGAUGAGGAAGUGACACUAGCCUGGGAAUAAGCGUCGGUGUUAACUACGUGCCCAGCAGCCGCUGUAAGACGUAGGACGCGAGCGUUAUCCUGGAUUCACUGGGCGUCAAGUGCCUGAACGCGGGCUAGGUAAGCUCCGUUGUGAAAUCCCCGUGCUCAACCCGGGGAGGCCAAGCGAUACUGCGUGACCUGAGGUCGGAAGAGGGGACUGGAAUUCCCGAGUAAGCGGUAAAAUGCGCAGAAAUCGGGAGGAACACCAGUGGCGAAGGCGGCUCCCUGGACCGCACCUGACGCUCAGAGGCGAAAGCUAGGGGAGCGAACAGGAUUAGAGACCCUGGUAGUCCUAGCCCUAAACGCUGGAUGCUAGGUCUAGGGCUGAUGAGGCUCUGUGCCGGAGCGAACGCGAUAAGCAUCCCGCCUG